GACGAACGCUGGCGGCGUGCCUAAUACAUGCAAGUCGAGCGGAGUUAUUCCUUCGGGGAUAGCUUAGCGGCGGACGGGUGAGUAACACGUAGGUAACCUGCCUGUAAGACCGGGAUAACAUUCGGAAACGAAUGCUAAUACCGGAUAAUCAGCUUGUCCGCAUGGACGAGCUGGGAAAGACGGUGCAAGCUGUCACUUACAGAUGGACCUGCGGCGCAUUAGCUAGUUGGUGGGGUAACGGCUCACCAAGGCGACGAUGCGUAGCCGACCUGAGAGGGUGAUCGGCCACACUGGGACUGAGACACGGCCCAGACUCCUACGGGAGGCAGCAGUAGGGAAUCUUCCGCAAUGGACGAAAGUCUGACGGAGCAACGCCGCGUGAGUGAUGAAGGUUUUCGGAUCGUAAAGCUCUGUUGCCAGGGAAGAACGAGUGGGAGAGUAACUGCUCCUGCUAUGACGGUACCUGAGAAGAAAGCCCCGGCUAACUACGUGCCAGCAGCCGCAGUAAAAC
rnacentral:rRNA from 1 species